rnacentral:rRNA from 1 species
AAUAAAUGUAAAAGAUAAAGAAAAAACCUGUAUUGAGAACCGUAGCUGGUGAAUUGGAGUAAAGUGCUCUAAGGUACAUAUAUAACAAACAUUCAUAAGGAACUCGGCAAAAUACUUUCGUGCUUAUUAAUAAGAAAGGGCUUCUGUAGAUAUAAAAUAUCUAUCCUAUUGUCCAUAGAAAAUAGGUGACAACGACUGUUUCACAAAAAGUGCGACCAGACGAAGUUAUUUAACACAAUGUGUGUAGAACAACACUAACCUCUGUUGAUAGGUUAAACCUAUCUUGGCAUGCAUUACUGGUAACGGUUCUGUAUGAAGCCCUUGAGACAAUGUAAGGGUAGGAUUAACACCCGAGCCCUGCUAGGUUGGAUAUCUACGGUAAACGAAAGUGAACAUAUCGGUAAAAUUUAGGCUUCGUGAAAACAGUUCCAUGAGGUGUCAAAGCUGGCAUGGAGGUUAGAACGGGCGCAGUUUCUUUUUGUGGCUGCGCCAUCAACACACAACGUUCUACGGAGUAGAGAUAUGUACCUAAGGAUAUCAUAGUCAUAACCAUUAAGUUAUGACGGAAAGUGUGUUAAAUAGAACUGGGUAAGCCCAAUGUCUGCACAGUAGAAAUACUGGGCUAGGAAGGAGCGAUCUGACACAUAUGACAGUGGGUAAAGGAUCUUAUAAAAAGCAAACGCCAUUACUAUAACGGUUUUGGAUAGAGGCGCUGAUGCCUUAACUCGAAAGAGUGCUGACUUAUAUACGGAUACUAUAAUAGGAUUUAUUUAGUUUGAUACCUGCCAAUUUGGUAUUCAUAACGGCCGCUGUAACUAUAACGGUGCUAAGGUAGCUUAAUAAUUUGACAUUUAAUUGGUGUCUACGUGAAUGGUGUAACGACUGUCAUACUGUCUCAUGAAUGUAUAUGGUGAAUUUGACCUAUACGUGCAGAUGCGUAUUAUUGUGUGUGGGACGAUAAGACCCUAGUACCUUAACAAAAUGGUAUAAAAACAAGAUU